ACGGGCUGUAAAACAGCCGCCUUUGUGAAUCUUGUCUCUGUGAGUCUUCGUUCAAGUCCCUGAAGCGCUGUGAGCCGCGGUGGAGGCCACUGGUGGGCUGUGCGGGGCCAUCUUCGCUGGACUCCGGGACUUCCACAAAGUCGGCAGCGAACACCCGUAGACCCGGCUGGGUCAUUCCUUUAAGGUGGUUAUCAGAUCAUAGACAUCGGUUGAGCCACUAUCACGGACCAGGGUGAGUGGUGCGGUUUAUUUAUUUGUUUUUUUUAUUUUUACUCCACUGUCUAUGCUGCUCUAUCAGUGAAGUUCAGAUAAAAAGAGGCAGAUUUAAAACAUAGCAUGAGCAGACUAGGGGGUAUGAUACAGUGAAGACUUUCCCAGUGGACAGGGAUCAUGAAUCUCAGAAGAGCUUUGUUGUGGGGGCUGGUGAAAUUGCCUGUCUUCGGCCCAUGCACGCUUAGGAGAAAGUGUCGUCAUCCUUGUACAGCACUUGCAGAAAAGAGCUACAAAGGCCUUAAGGAGUGGUCUUCUGAGGAUAACCCCAAAAUUAAAAUGUUAGAUUAAUGGUAACAUAUCUAUUGUGCCAUAUUCUUUAGGAAAGGAGUUCAGCUUAAAUUAAAGGGAAGCCCUUCCACUUGAAAA